UAGCUCAGUGGUAGAGCUAUCGGCUGUUAACCGAUCGGUCGUAGGUUCGAAUCCUAC
rnacentral:tRNA from 1 species